rnacentral:rRNA from 1 species
AGGGAAUCUUCCACAAUGGGCGCAAGCCUGAUGGAGCAACACCGCGUGAGUGAAGAAGGGUUUCGGCUCGUAAAGCCCUGUUGUUGGAGAAGAACGUGCGUGAGAGUAACUGUUCACGAAGUGACGGUAUCCCACCAGAAAGUCACGGCGAAAGACGUUGCAGCAGCCGCGGUAAUACGUAGGUGGCAAGCGUUAUCCGGAUUUAUUGGGCGUAAAGCGAGCGCAGGCGGUUGCUUAGGUCUGAUGUGAAAGCCUUCGGCUUAACCGAAGAAGUGCAUCGGAAACCGGGCGACUUGAGUGCAGAAGAGGACAGUGGAACUCCAUGUGUAGCGGUGGAAUGCGUAGAUAUAUGGAAGAACACCAGUGGCGAAGGCGGCUGUCUGGUCUGCAACUGACGCUGAGGCUCGAAAGCAUGGGUAGCGAGCAGG